rnacentral:lncRNA from 1 species
ACAACCGAACGCCAUCUGCUUUCUCUGACGCUACCUGUUCAACGUCAUCUUUGGUUUGUCACACUUACUGCGAUCGUGACUACAAUCUAUUGAUUCUUCUUCUCCAAAAUUUCCAGCUUAUGUCGAUGUUAACUUGAAGCUCCGGCAGAACCUGAAUCACCACUGCCUCAAACCAGAAGCCCUUUGACUCAAUCCUUAUCCAACCUCAAUAGCCCGUAGACACCAAACUCCUCAUCCUGAGAAUUUCCUUUGUAACAAUCUGAAUGAGCACCUUGCCUUGAACAUCACUCUGAACCUGUUGUUGCCAACAGAUCCCGCCGCUUAACACAACUUGCUAAGAAGACUUUCGACGCAAAGAAUCUCUGCUCAACCUCUGCUCAAACAAAUCAUUACCUCUGCAACUGUGAUACCUUGUAGACCCAUUUGUUUCCUCUCAUAUGCCUGAGAAGCCAAAACAAACUACUACUGAAUCCCAUGCAGAAAAUCCGAAACAUACAUGUUUCCAUCCUGAAUCAAUCUCGAUUUGACACUGCCACCUGUUCAGCCGAAUUCUGCUUUGAACAAGUAACUCCUCGUUCUCGCAGAUCCAUUCCAGCAAAAAACUAUGUGUUACGCCAAACACAUAUCUGCUUAGAAAACCACACUGCGUUCCCUAUGAAAAUAGCAGCCUUGUAGUAUCUUGUUCUCUGAACAUCUACCCGAUUGUAGACUCCCAUAAUCACACAUAGACAAA